AUUGAACGCUGGCGGCAUGCCUUACACAUGCAAGUCGAACGGUAACAGGCUUUCGGAUGCUGACGAGUGGCGAACGGGUGAGUAAUACAUCGGAACGUGCCCAGACGUGGGGGAUAACGAAGCGAAAGCUUUUCUAAUACCUCAUACGAUCUAAGGAUGAAAGCAGGGGACCGCAAGACCUUGCGCGUUUGGAGCGGCCGCUGGCAGACUAGGUAGUUGGUGGGAUAAAAGUUUACCAGGCCGACGAUCUGUAGCUGAUGUGAGAGGACGAGCUCCCACACUGGGAGUGAGACGGGGCCCAGGCUCCUGCGGGAGGCAGCAGUGGGGAAUGGUGGGCAAUGGGCGGGAGCCUGGUCCAGCGAUGCCGCGUGCAGGAUGAAGACGUUGGGGUUGUAAACUGCUUUUGUACGGAACGAAAAGGCUCUGGCUAAGACCUAGGGCACAUGACGGUACCGUAAGAAUAAGCACCGGCUAACUACGUG
rnacentral:rRNA from 1 species